rnacentral:rRNA from 1 species
GUGCCAGCAGCCGCGGUAAUACGGAGGGUGCAAGCGUUGUUCGGAAUUAUUGGGCGUAAAGCGCGCGCAGGCGGCUUAAGAAGUCCAUGGGUGAAAGGCCGGGGCUCAACCCCGAGUGUGCCCAGGAUACUCUUUGGCUGGAGACACGUAGAGGCAAGCGGAAUUUCGGGUGUAGCGGUGGAAUGCGUAGAUAUCCGAAAGAACACCGGAGGCGAAGGCGGCUUGCUGGGCGUGAUCUGACGCUGAGGCGCGAAAGCGUGGGGAGCGAACAGGAUUAGAUACCCUGGUAGUCC